AACGAACGCUGGCGGCAUGCCUAACACAUGCAAGUCGAACGAUGCUUUCGGGCAUAGUGGCGCACGGGUGCGUAACGCGUGGGAAUCUGCCCUGGGGUUCGGGAUAACAGCGGGAAACUGCUGCUAAUACCGGAUGAUAUCGCGAGAUCAAAGAUUUAUCGCCCUGGGAUGAGCCCGCGUCGGAUUAGGUAGUUGGUGGGGUAAGAGCCUACCAAGCCGACGAUCCGUAGCUGGUCUGAGAGGAUGAUCAGCCACACUGGGACUGAGACACGGCCCAGACUCCUACGGGAGGCAGCAGUGGGGAAUAUAGGACAAUGGGCGCAAGCCUGAUCCAGCAAUGCCGCGUGAGUGAUGAAGGCCUUAGGGUUGUAAAGCUCUUUUACCCGGGAUGAUAAUGACAGUACCGGGAGAAUAAGCCCCGGCUAACUCCGUG
rnacentral:rRNA from 1 species